AUGAAUUCGGCAGCACAUAUACUAGAGUUGGAACGAUACAGAGAAGAUUAGCAUGGCCCUUGUGCAAGGAUUACUCGAUUUUAUUUGUACUCAUUUAUUCUAUU